rnacentral:rRNA from 1 species
AGUGAACGCUGGCGGUAGGCCUAACACGUGCAAGUCGAACGGCAGCACAGUAAGAGCUUGCUCUUACGGGUGGCGAGUGGCGGACGGGUGAGGAAUACAUCGGAAUCUACUUUUUCGUGGGGGAUAACGUAGGGAAACUUACGCUAAUACCGCAUACGACCUACGGGUGAAAGCAGGGGAUCUUCGGACCUUGCGCGAUUGAAUGAGCCGAUGUCGGAUUAGCUAGUUGGCGGGGUAAAGGCCCACCAAGGCGACGAUCCGUAGCUGGUCUGAGAGGAUGAUCAGCCACACUGGAACUGAGACACGGUCCAGACUCUUACGGGAGGCAGCAGUGGGGAAUAUUGGACAAUGGGCGCAAGCCUGAUCCAGCCAUACCGCGUGGGUGAAGAAGGCCUUCGGGUUGUAAAGCCCUUUUGUUGGGAAAGAAAAGCAGCAGGUUAAUACCCCGCUGUUCUGACGGUACCCAAAGAAUAAGCACCGGCUAACUUCGUG